AAAAACUGAGGUGGUAUGAGAUGGACCUGCGUCUGAUUAGCUAGUUGGAGAGGUAACGGCUCACCAAGGCAACGAUCAGUAGCCGACCUGAGAGGGUGACCGGCCACAUUGGGACUGAGACACGGCCCAAACUCCUACGGGAGGCAGCAGUGGGGAAUAUUGCACAAUGGGGGAAACCCUGAUGCAGCAACGCCGCGUGGGUGAAGAAGUAUUUCGGUAUGUAAAGCCCUAUCAGCAGGGAAGAAGAGAGACGGUACCUGACUAAGAAGCCCCGGCUAACUACGUGCCAGCAGCCGCGGUAAUACGUAGGGGGCAAGCGUUAUCCGGAUUUACUGGGUGUAAAGGGAGCGUAGACGGCUUGAUAAGUCUGAAGUGAAAGGCCAAGGCUUAACCAUGGAACUGCUUUGGAAACUAUGAGGCUAGAGUGCUGGAGAGGUAAGCGGAAUUCCUAGUGUAGCGGUGAAAUGCGUAGAUAUUAGGAGGAACACCAGUGGCGAAGGCGGCUUACUGGACAGAAACUGACGUUGAGGCUCGAAAGCGUGGGGAGCAAACAGGAUUAGAUACCCUGGUAGUCCACGCGGUAAACGAAGAAUGCUAGGUGUUGGUGGGCAAAGCCCUUCG
rnacentral:rRNA from 1 species